CCCACCCCCACGGGAACCCCUUUCCCAUCCCAUCGGAACCCCUCGUUCCUGCCCCGUAGGAACGGCUUCUCCCACCCCAUGCAAGCCCCUUUUCUUCCCACCCCAUAGGAACGAAACCCUUUUCCCCACCCCAUUGGAACCCCAUUUCUCACCCCACACAAACCCCUUUCCCUGUCCCAUAGGAACCCCGUUUCCUACCCCAUACAAACCCCUUUCCCCAUCCCAUACAAACCCCUUUCCCCACCCCACACAAACCCCCUUCCCCACGCCACGGGAACGACCCCCGUUUGUUUCCCAUUUCCCACACCACUGAAGCCCCUUUCCCUGUCACACCAAACCCAUUUUCCCCACCCCCCCCAUUUCCCUGGCUUUACUCAGCUGGGGCGCACCCAGCCGAGGCACCGAAGCACCCCGGGCUGGCAGCGCGGGGUCGGGGGCGUUAUUUCAGCCCACUCCCCACCCCCCCCCCAGGCUCAGGAGCCUGCACCGUGCGGCCACCACGGUGGCCAACGAGCCCAUCCUCGAAUUCAAACCUGGCAGCCCCGAGCGAGCGGCGCUGCAGCAGGCGCUGGCCGACCUGAAGGGCAGGACCGAAGCCAUCCCCUGCGUGGUCGGUGGGGAGGAGGUGUGGACCGGAGUGGUGCGGUACCAGCUCUCGCCGUUCAAUCAUGCGCACAAGGUGGCCAAGUUCUGCUACGCCGACAAGGUGAGCGCGCCCGCUGCCUGUUCCUCUUCCCUUCGGUCUUCUUCGUGGGAGGCGUUUUGGGGACAGUGCAGCGACCACACGGCCCCAGCUAGCUGCCAGCGUCGCUGAUGCAGCUCGGCUGCAGGUUUCACAAGCAGAAGUGGCUUUUUGGAGUCACAAAGCACAUGGUUUUUCCAAAAGAAGCAGCAGUGGGUUUUGGCUUUCCAAGCCCCUGGGGCCCUGGAACAAGGCGGUCUGAGGGGCUCCGGUGGUGGUGGGAAGGUGGCUGCCACAGCAUGUGUCCGGGCUGGACGUCCCCUCACUGUCCCCUUUGG
rnacentral:lncRNA from 1 species